rnacentral:rRNA from 1 species
AUUGAACGCUGGCGGCAUGCUUUACACAUGCAAGUCGAACGGUAACAGGCCGCAAGGUGCUGACGAGUGGCGAACGGGUGAGUAAUGCAUCGGAACGUGCCCAGUCGUGGGGGAUAACGCAGCGAAAGCUGUGCUAAUACCGCGUACGAUCUAUGGAUGAAAGCGGGGGACCGUAAGGCCUCGCGCGAUUGGAGCGGCCGAUGUCAGAUUAGGUAGUUGGUGGGGUAAAGGCUCACCAAGCCAACGAUCUGUAGCUGGUCUGAGAGGACGACCAGCCACACUGGGACUGAGACACGGCCCAGACUCCUACGGGAGGAAGCAGUGGGGAAUCUUGGACAAUGGGCGCAAGCCUGAUCCAGCAAUGCCGUGUGCAGGAAGAAGGCCUUCGGGUUGUAAACUGCUUUUGUACGGAACGAAAAGGUUUGGGUUAAUACCCUGGGCCGAUGACGGUACCGUAAGAAUAGGCACCGGCUAACUACGUGCCAGCCGCCGCCGCGG